rnacentral:tRNA from 1 species
GCCUGGGUGGCUCAGUCGGUUGAGCGUCCGACUUCAGCUCAGGUCAUGAUCUCACAGCUCGUGAGUUCGAGCCCCGCAUCGGGCU